rnacentral:tRNA from 1 species
AUUUAAAUAGCUUAAUUAGAGUUUGAUAUUGAAGAUAUCAAGGUGACUUAUAGUCUUUAAAUA